GAUGAAGAACGUAGUGAAAUGCGAUAAGUAAUGCGAAUUGCAGAUUUCAAUGAGUCAUCGAAUCUUUGAACGCACAUUGCGCCCGCCAGUAUUCUGGCGGGCAUGCCUGUUCGAGCGUCAUUUCAACCAUCAAGCCCCCGGGCUUGCGUUGGGGCCCUGCGGCUGCCGCAGGCCCCGAAAAGCAGUGGCGGGCUCGCUGUCACACCGAGCGCAGUAGCGAUUCUCGCUCCGGGCGUCGGCGGCGGGCACCGGCCGUGAAACCCCCCCACAUCCACAAGGUUGACCUCGGAUCAGGUAGGAAUACCCGCUGAACUUAAGCAUAUCAAUAAGCGGAGGA
rnacentral:misc_RNA from 1 species